UACGGGGGGGGUGAGCGUUGUUCGGAAUUACUGGGCGUAAAGGGCUCGUAGGCGGCCAACUAAGUCAGACGUGAAAUCCCUCAGCUUAACUGGGGAACUGCGUCUGAUACUGGAUGGCUUGGAUUUGGGAGAGGAAUGCGGAAUUCCAGGUGUAGCGGUGAAAUGCGCAGAUAUCGGGAGGAACACCAAUUGCGAAGGCAGCUUGCUGGGACGGUACUGACGCUGAGGCGCGAAAGCGUGGGGAGCAAACAGG
rnacentral:rRNA from 1 species